rnacentral:rRNA from 1 species
AGCAGCCGCGGUAAUUCCAGCUCCAAUAGCGUAUAUUAAAGUUGUUGCAGUUAAAAAGCUCGUAGUUGAAUUUCGAGAUCGGCUUACUGGUCGUGCUUUUGUACGUACUGGUUAAUCGGUUUCUCCUUUCUGACGAACUUUAAUGCCAUUAAUUUGGUGUUUUAGGGAAUCAGGACUGUUACUUUGAAAAAAUUGAUUGUUUAAAGCAGGCUCACGCUUGAAUACAUUAGCAUGGGAAUAACGGAAUAGGACGUUUGAUUCUAUUUUGUUGGUUUCUAGGAUCGACGUAAUGAUUAAUAGGGUAUAGUUGGGGGCAUUAGUAUUCAAUUGUCAGAGGUGAAAUUCUUGGAUUUAUUGAAGACUAACUACUGCGAAAGCAUUUGCCAAGGAUGUUUUCAUUAAUCAAGAACGAAAGUUAGGGGAUCGAAGACGAUCAGAUACCGUCGUAGUCUUAACCAUAAACUAU